GAGGGUGCAGCUCAGCGAUGGAGCACUUGCUUAGCACACAUGAGGUCCUGGGUUCAAUCCCCAGUGCCUCCA
rnacentral:tRNA from 1 species